rnacentral:rRNA from 1 species
AUUGAACGCUGGCGGCAGGCCCAACACAUGCAAGUCGAACGGUAACAGGAAGAAGCUUGCUUCUUUGCUGACGAGUGGCGGACGGGUGAGUAAUGUCUGGGAAACUGCCUGAUGGAGGGGGAUAACUACUGGAAACGGUAGCUAAUACCGCAUAACGUCGCAAGACCAAAGAGGGGGACCUUCGGGCCUCUUGCCAUCGGAUGUGCCCAGAUGGGAUUAGCUAGUAGGUGGGGUAACGGCUCACCUAGGCGACGAUCCCUAGCUGGUCUGAGAGGAUGACCAGCCACACUGGAACUGAGACACGGUCCAGACUCCUACGGGAGGCAGCAGUGGGGAAUAUUGCACAAUGGGCGCAAGCCUGAUGCAGCCAUGCCGCGUGUAUGAAGAAGGCCUUCGGGUUGUAAAGUACUUUCAGCGGGGAGGAAGGGAGUAAAGUUAAUACCUUUGCUCAUUGACGUUACCCGCAGAAGAAGCACCGGCUAACUCCGUGCCAGCAGCCGCGGUAAUACGGAGGGUGCAAGCGUUAAUCGGAAUUACUGGGCGUAAAGCGCACGCAGGCGGUUUGUUAAGUCAGAUGUGAAAUCCCCGGGCUCAACCUGGGAACUGCAUCUGAUACUGGCAAGCUUGAGUCUCGUAGAGGGGGGUAGAAUUCCAGGUGUAGCGGUGAAAUGCGUAGAGAUCUGGAGGAAUACCGGUGGCGAAGGCGGCCCCCUGGACGAAGACUGACGCUCGGGUGCGAAAGCGUGGGGAGCAAACAGGAUUAGAUACCCUGGUAGUCCACGCCGUAAACGAUGUCGACUUGGAGGUUGUGCCCUUGAGGCGUGGCUUCCGGAGCUAACGCGUUAAGUCGACCGCCUGGGGAGUACGGCCGCAAGGUUAAAACUCAAAUGAAUUGACGGGGGCCCGCACAAGCGGUGGAGCAUGUGGUUUAAUUCGAUGCAACGCGAAGAACCUUACCUGGUCUUGACAUCCACAGAACUUUCCAGAGAUGGACUGGUGCCUUCGGGAACUGUGAGACAGGUGCUGCAUGGCUGUCGUCAGCUCGUGUUGUGAAAUGUUGGGUUAAGUCCCGCAACGAGCGCAACCCUUAUCUUUUGUUGCCAGCGGUCCGGCCGGGAACUCAAAGGAGACUGCCAGUGAUAAACUGGAGGAAGGUGGGGAUGACGUCAAGUCAUCGUGGCCCUUACGACCAGGGCUACACACGUGCUACAAUGGCGCAUACAAAGAGAAGCGACCUCGCGAGAGCAAGCGGACCUCAUAAAGUGCGUCGUAGUCCGGAUUGGAGUCUGCAACUCGACUCCAUGAAGUCGGAAUCGCUAGUAAUCGUGGAUCAGAAUGCCACGGUGAAUACGUUCCCGGGCCUUGUACACACCGCCCGUCACACCAUGGGAGUGGGUUGCAAAAGAAGUAGGUAGCUUAACCUUCGGGAGGGCGCUUACCACUUUGUGAUUCAUGACUGGGGUGAAGUCGGAACAAGGUAACCGUAGGGGAACCUGCGGUUG